CCUCCCUGUCCAGAAUGAUUCCAGAACAAAGACUGCAGCUGGAUGGAGAUACCAACCUACAGUGAAUGAGGAAGUGAUCAUUAGGAAUGAGGCGAGGAACUCUUCCUGCAAUCGCCUUCUGAGCCAAUUCCACUGGAGGAGAGGGUUGCGGUGAGCUGGGGCAGCGUGCGAAGUAUUAAAGAUUCCAUCACAUCAAAGUUCCCAAGGGUGUUGUGGACCAGUUGGAGAUGGUGACUGAGAAGUGCUAAUUAGAAAAUUAUAUAUUAAAUAUUAGCCUUGGGGAAAUUGUAGAAGUGGUUCAUAAAGAAGACAGAAGGGUUCCCUGAAGCUGGGGAGUCUAUGUCUCAGCCCAAAGAAAGGGUGAACCGUGGAGACAGAUGUGCCCUUUAAUCUGCCUGCUGUCCUAUGGGGAAUGGGCUAAAAUCAGGAGAAUCCCUGGAGUCUAGGGUAAGAUCACCUCUGCACUCUCCCUACCACCAACCUACCUCAUUGCCUGGCCUGGCAGGAAAUAGCAUGUCAGCACUGAUCUGCUCUCAGAAACUUUGCAAUCAUGCAGUCUAAUACCCCAAGGCUUAGUUCCUACAAAAUGCUCUUAUUAAUGGUAGCUGUCAAUUUCUGAAUACCUACUACAUGCUAGGUUCUUUAUAUGGUUGUUUCUAAUCCUUCCAGCAACCCUUCCAUGUAGUCAUUAUCGUCGCCAUAUUACAGGGGAUCUUACUGGUGAGGAAAUAGAGGCUUAGCUUGUCAGAGGUUAUACAGCUAGUGGAGGACUGAGCCAGGAUUUGAACCCAGGAGUGGCUUGCCGCAGAAUCCCAGAGCUCUGCACUAAAAUUAACACCUCCCUGAUACUGAAUGAACCCAUGGGGCCAGAAGUAAAUAAUCCCCUGGGAGAACAUUAGCGACCCUGGGAAGUGACGUGACUGGCACUGACUCAAUUUUAGAGACCUAUACGGAUGUGCAGGAUUUCAGGAAGUUUCACCAGUGAUGUGGAGUCAGCAGCCCAUGACUCAUCUGGCCAAAUUCGGGGAGGCUGCCUGAUGGUGCUGCAGAGUGUUUACAGGUUGUCUUCCCUGUCUAUGUCAGCUGCUUCCAGCAGGAGAUUAGACUUCUCUCCACGGAUGUCCCACUGCCUCCUCCCACUGAACUGACCUGCACCUCACCUGGGUUCCUUAUCACUUCGCCUCCAUCAAUCAUCUUUGAUUCUUCUCUCCCCACCUCCUUUAUUCAUUCACCCGGUCUCAGCUUCGAUGUCACUUCUUUCAGCAAGAUCUCCCUGGCCCCCUGACUCUGUCGUCCUGCCAUGGAAUCCAGUGCUUAGUCCUUUGUGACACCAUCCUACCCUUACAAGGUGUCAUCACUACUCACUUACUGCUUUUGGACUUGGAUAUGACUCUACUAAGCCUCAUUUUAGUCAUCUGGAAACGACCACCUCGGUUUCACUUUUUGGCAGUAUAACGAGUUAGAUGCACUGACUAACCCUUCCAACUGAAGCAACUAAAAUGAAAGAAGAGAAAAAAAAAGUGUUUUUUGUUUUUUUUAACCACAUUGUUAGUGUCUUAAAAGUAAAGAAUCUGUGAAUCCCAAAAGUGAGGUAAGUGCAGGAACCCAGAGGUAAUUUAGGAACAAGGUGAUUUUCAUUCUGAGGUUUUUGCCUAGGUCAGGAAACUUGAACUUCUGUUUUGAUGGAUGUGCAGGACUUGAGAAGUAGGAGAUAAAGCCUUGAGCUUGCCCAAAGUGGAGAUUGAAUUAGACGCCCUAGCAUAAACUGGGAUCCCAAAGGCAUGAACCAGAAAAAAAUCCCUGCUACACAGAAGGUGAGAGCAAGGAGGGACAGAGAAAU